GGUAGUUUCCGUUUGUCCAGAGGAACCUGAACGCAGCACACAGGAUUGAUUGUUGAGAAGGACGGUGACAACAAAAAUGGAGACGGAUCGAAAACAACGUAACUCAUGUCUGACAACUGACUCGUAACUAUCUGAGAGGAGGAAAGCACCCAGAGAUCGGAGCCAUGGAGGCUCGCUUUGGUACCGUUGUGUUCAGCUCCAAGUUUGACUCAGGGAAUCUAGCACGGGUGGAGAAGGUAAAGAAGGGCUGCACGAGUCCCUCCUCUAAACCCACCUCUGAUGUUUCUGGGUCACACCUUACUCCGGACUGUGAGUUCAACGUGUGGACCCAGCCAGACUGUGCUGGGUCAGAGUAUGAAAAUGGAAACAGGUCGUGGUUUUACUUCAGCGUUCGAGGGACUACGCCCGGGAAAUUACUGAAGAUCAAUGUGAUGAACAUGAAUAAUCAGCGGAAGCUCUACAGCCAGGGCAUGGCUCCCCUCGUACGAACUUUACCUGGCAAAAACCGGUGGGAAAGGAUCCGGGACAGACCCACAGUCAAGAUCGCAGAUAACCAGUUCAUUCUGUCCUUCACCCACCGGGUGCUGAAGGUGCGGGGGGCUAUCACCUUUUUCUCUUUCUGCUUCCCUUUCUCCUACACCGAGUGUCAGGAGAUGCUGCAGCAGCUGGAUGAGCGCUUCCCCAACGCUGCUCAGCUCGGUCCGAGCAGUGCACCAGGCGCGGUGUAUUAUCAUAGGGAGCUGCUGUGCCACUCUCUUGAUGGCAAUAGGGUGGACCUCCUCACUGUGACCAACUGCAGCGGGAUGCAGGGAGAUAGAGAAGCCCGUCUGCCAAAACUGUUUCCUGAGACCAACACUCCAAGGCCUCACCGUUUCACUAACAAGAGGGUGUUCUUCCUCAGCAGCCGAGUGCAUCCCGGAGAAACUCCUUCAUCCUUCGUGUUUAACGGUUUCCUGAACUUCCUCCUGAGGACAGAUGACCCACGUGCACACAUGCUGCGCAACAUGUUUGUGUUCAAACUCAUCCCCAUGCUCAACCCAGACGGGGUCAUUCGAGGACACUACAGAACUGAUUCCAGAGGUGUGAACCUGAACAGACAGUACUUAAACCCAAACCCUGAGCUUCAUCCGUCCAUUUAUGCAGCCAAAACACUGUUGCUCUACCACCACACACACAACCGCUUGCACAACACACACAGCAGCACCCCUCACACACAGCCCCGCCCCCUCAACAACAAGACCACCAAUCAGCAUCAGUCUUCACCGCUCACUCCUCUAGAAGUCAGUUUGAACCAACGGACUACAGAGAAAGAUGGAAUCCCCGCUCAGGCCGAGGUUCCCAUGGUGAUGGAGGAGAACUGGACAGCCGCGGAGACGAGGAAAGGGAGCCAGAGCAGCUCCUCAGGCCCCUCAGAGACCGUAGCUCCUGCUGCCAAAGAAGAUGAAGCUGCACCACAGGGGGAGGAAGUUGAGUCUGUGCCGCCACAGGAGGGAGGCGUGGCCUAUUAUGUGGACUUACAUGGCCACGCCUCCAAACGGGGAUGCUUCAUGUAUGGAAAUAACCUUCCUGACGAGAGCCAGCAGGUGGAGAACAUGCUGUACCCCAGGCUGAUUGCUGUGAAUUCUGCCCAUUUUGACUUCCCGGGCUGCAACUUCUCUGAGAAAAACAUGUACGCAUGCGAUAAGAGGGGCGGGCAGUCGAAGGAAGGCAGCGGCCGGGUCGCUAUCCACAAGGCCAUCGGGCUGCUUCACAGCUACACGCUGGAGUGCAAUUAUAACACGGGCAAAUCCAUGAACACCAUCCCGCCUGCCUGCCACGACAACGGCCGGGCGACCCCUCCCCCACCCUCCUCGUUUCCUCCCAAAUACACUCCGGAAAUAUUUGAGCAGGUGGGACGAGCCGUGGCCAUCUCUGCCCUGGACAUGGCAGAGUGUAACCCUUGGCCCCGUCUGGUGCUGUCUGAGCACACCUGCCUUACCAACCUAAGAGCCUGGAUCCUCAAACGCGUCCGCAAUACCAAAGCUCUGAGCGCCCACGUCCACACUACCCCAAAGGUCCACAACGGCAGCAAGUUGUCACCGCCAAGAAGUUUUAAUAACUUUCUGUCCAGAUCGACAUCAGAGAACACCAUCAGCUGUGUUCGCCACAACAGCCUCAACAGCAGCAGCCAGACUCCCUCGCCAAAAAAGCACAGCUCCCCGAGUUUCACCUUUGGCUGCCCCCCACCACGGACUCGCACACAGCACAACAGCACACACACCAGUGGGCGUGGAGGCAGCAAAACACUUGGGCCGGUCAGGGACCCUAAGCCUCAGGAGAAGAGACGCCCUUCUCACCACCGUUCCAUCCUACGGUCUCCCGGCAACAGCCACAAACCUUCCCACCCCACUCAGCCCCCCCCUUCCUCUUCGUCGUCCUCCUCGUCGUCCUCGGUGUGUGCAGCAGGUUCCUGUCCCCUCCCGGCUCCGGUCAGUAUAACAGGCAUCAGCUGUCCAGAGUUUAAAGCUGAUGGACCCAGGUCAGUGAGAAAACCCUUCCCUGCUCGUCCUGGGCGUGUGGGCCGAGCCUGCCGGUCUGUUAAAGUCACUCAUCAACCGGCAGACACACUUCACGAGACCUCUAAAGAUGCAGGCCCUGAACAUAUCAUUCACCAAAUAUGCAUGAGAACCUUUUGCCGCAAACGAGCUGCAUCCCCAUCUGGCGUGUGGGCUCAGUUGACACGCCCCUCUCCUGUAACGUAGCAACACCUCCAACCUCACCUGGAGAUAUGAAGUUGUCGGCCUGUAUGAAGGUGGAGAAGCUGCUCCGACCAGAUCUGAUCCGACACCGGUCUCUGCCAGGCAUAUCAGAUAGAGAAGGUGCCAUGCAGCUGAACUCCCAACAGGAGUCUUCCCUACAAAUGUCUCGUGGAGGCCACAGCAGAGGUGGAUGUGAAGCUGCAGGAGGGGAAAACCUGCUCACAAACAUAAAUGUGACUGAAUAUCAUACAACUGUGCUGCUGGGGGAGGGGGUCGUCAGGGAUUUCAUGAUUUAAUUUUCUUAUGAUUGCCAUGCAGAUGCUGGAACCCAACAUAAUGGCCCGGGCUGCUAGACACAGCGACCCCAUGUGGGGAAGCAUUGAAACUGCAGCUUCCUACUUUGGAAGUGUCUGUAUUCUUACCAAACGAGUCUUUAGUUAUUUGAUGUGCGAUGCGAAUAUUUUCCUUUUACUUGGUUUACUGGUCAGGAUUUUAUUUUCAGUUGCAGUGGUGAUGCUGUAGGAAGAACGGUGCAUUAAUUUCAUUGAUGGACUGUAAUUUUGGACUUUGCUCUGGAGGAGUAGUGCCUCUCUUCACGAGUGGCUGAAGCACAUUUCGAUUUCCCAGAUCAUCAGUAAUCUGUAAAGUUUAAAUAUCAAAACCUUUCACUUUCCAGACAAAAUGUAAACAUUUGUGUUUUUGUUGCUUUAGUCCAACAGUGAUGCUCCCUGACUGAUAACACUAGUAUAGGUUCUACUUCUACGGGUUUACAUAUUUUACCACUGUAAAUGUUUAAAACUUCUGAGCACACACAAGCACCUUUUUAACCUCCCAUUCAUUGUUGAUGUGGAAAAACUGAUUUCUGAAUAACAUGCGCUUUGCAUGUAUAGUUAAAAUAAAUAUUUUUAAAAAAAUUCUUUUUCAGUUUUCUUCUUGGGAUUCUGCUCAUUUAAGAAGUAAAACCAGAUUAUUACGAAGCGAAAACAAGUUUGCAGUGUUGCUGGGUUUUUUUUUUGUAGACCCAUAGUCUUUCUAAAUGAACCCUGCAAAAACCAGCUGUAGCAUGCUGUUAUUUUAAAUUUCUUAUACAAGGAGUCUGAGACUCCCUGAUUUAAACUCACUAUUGCAGCUUCUUCAUUUCAUUUACUCAAGAUUUCAGAGUGAUGACCCAAGCCAUUCAUUUAUAAUUCCAACACAAAAUGUGGAUUCAAAUCUUUCCAGGCACAUUAGCAUUACUCUCUGGGCAAGAAUGAUGUUGGUUGUAUCUGCAGGUCUAAGGAAGCCAAAUUUAAGAUUUUUUAGAUCUCAUUUAAGGCCAUUUUGAUCAAAUUUAGGACAUUUGCAGAAUGGAAAACUGUGACCACCUUACAAAUAGUGCUGUAAACCUUUACUGGAACUGAAAGAGCUGAAAAGCAACACAAACAUCAG